rnacentral:rRNA from 1 species
GACGAACGCUGGCGGCGUGCUUAACACAUGCAAGUCGAACGGAAAGGCCCUGCUUUUGUGGGGUGCUCGAGUGGCGAACGGGUGAGUAACACGUGAGUAACCUGCCCUUGACUUUGGGAUAACUUCAGGAAACUGGGGCUAAUACCGGAUAGGAGCUCCUGCUGCAUGGUGGGGGUUGGAAAGUUUCGGCGGUUGGGGAUGGACUCGCGGCUUAUCAGCUUGUUGGUGGGGUAGUGGCUUACCAAGGCUUUGACGGGUAGCCGGCCUGAGAGGGUGACCGGCCACAUUGGGACUGAGAUACGGCCCAGACUCCUACGGGAGGCAGCAGUGGGGAAUAUUGCACAAUGGGCGGAAGCCUGAUGCAGCAACGCCGCGUGCGGGAUGACGGCCUUCGGGUUGUAAACCGCUUUCGCCUGUGACGAAGCGUGAGUGACGGUAAUGGGUAAAGAAGCACCGGCUAACUACGUGCCAGCAGCCGCGGUGAUACGUAGGGUGCGAGCGUUGUCCGGAUUUAUUGGGCGUAAAGGGCUCGUAGGUGGUUGAUCGCGUCGGAAGUGUAAUCUUGGGGCUUAACCCUGAGCGUGCUUUCGAUACGGGUUGACUUGAGGAAGGUAGGGGAGAAUGGAAUUCCUGGUGGAGCGGUGGAAUGCGCAGAUAUCAGGAGGAACACCAGUGGCGAAGGCGGUUCUCUGGGCCUUUCCUGACGCUGAGGAGUGAAAGCGUGGGGAGCGAACAGGCUUAGAUACCCUGGUAGUCCACGCUGUAAACGGUGGGUACUAGGUGUGGGGUCCAUUCCACGGGUUCCGUGCCGUAGCUAACGCUUUAAGUACCCCGCCUGGGGAGUACGGCCGCAAGGCUAAAACUCAAAGGAAUUGACGGGGCCCCGCACAAGCGGCGGAGCAUGCGGAUUAAUUCGAUGCAACGCGUAGAACCUUACCUGGGUUUGACAUGGAUCGGGAGUGCUCAGAGAUGGGUGUGCCUCUUUUGGGGUCGGUUCACAGGUGGUGCAUGGCUGUCGUCAGCUCGUGUCGUGAGAUGUUGGGUUAAGUCCCGCAACGAGCGCAACCCUUGUUCACUGUUGCCAGCACGUUAUGGUGGGGACUCAGUGGAGACCGCCGGGGUCAACUCGGAGGAAGGUGGGGAUGACGUCAAGUCAUCAUGCCCCUUAUGUCCAGGGCUUCACGCAUGCUACAAUGGCUGGUACAGAGAGUGGCGAGCCUGUGAGGGUGAGCGAAUCUCGGAAAGCCGGUCUCAGUUCGGAUUGGGGUCUGCAACUCGACCUCAUGAAGUCGGAGUCGCUAGUAAUCGCAGAUCAGCAACGCUGCGGUGAAUACGUUCCCGGG